rnacentral:lncRNA from 1 species
CUCGUCGAAAGUCUUCCAUUCUUCAAACUAGAUUAUUUAAAAAUGAAAAAGGAAGAAAGGAAAGCGAGGUCAUCUCAUUGCUCUAUCCGCCAAUCAGGAGGCUGAAUGUCAGUUUUGAACUAAAAGCCGCUCCGCUCCUCUUCUAGAUUUGGAAAACAAGCGAAAUUAAACUAAACCGCUGCACGCCUCUGACGCGACAUCUGGACACGGCGCGGCGCUGGCGCUGCCGGAGCUGUCGACCCGGCCUGGCGCCGGACUAGUGUCCCUUUUGAUGAGAAGAAUAAGCCUCAUUCUGAUUCAACAGCAGAGAUCAAAGAAAAGACUUCUGUUUUCUGGCCACCAGAUAUAUGUUAUCUGUGCUUAAAGAAUUGAAAAACACACAUCAAAGGAGAAUUUUCUUGGAAAGAGAGGGUUCAAGCAUCACUGUUAGGUGUGCUGGAAUCCUUUCCCGAGUCAGUACUGCUUUCUAGAAGAAAACCGGGGAGAUCUAUUUGGAAUGUAUCUAACUCCAAAGAAACCAUCAGAGGUAACAGUAGAGACGGGGUUUCACCAUGUUGGCCAGACUGGUCUUGAACUCUCGACCUCGUGAUUCGCCCGCCUCGGCCUCCCAAAGUGCUGGGAUUACAGGUGUGAGACACCACACCCGGCGGAUAGAGAGAAUUUUGACAGAUUGGCUUCUCUCACAUGGCAAGAAACAUUGCUGCUAGCACUUCCCGAGUUCUACGUUCUACAACAUCCACCACUGCUAUGUCUCACAGUCCAGACUUGGAGUACAAGUAAUAAGAAGAAUAAAACUUAAUCCCUUAAGUAGAUUCACCAUAAGUUAGCUCAGAGCAAUUCCAGUGCAAGUAUGGUCUGUGAUCCAGUAGUAUCUUACAGACAGCAAGUUGAACAUUGUGGGAUGCAUGAGCUAUUGAGGCCUUUGCAGCUUUCUGCUACAUGGAGGCUAGGGCCAGAGUCAAGAUUUAUGCUUUGCAGCACACUGGUCAGCUGUUUUUGCAAAUCAGAUUAAAUGAUUUUUAAAUGAGGCUGAGAGCAUGGGAGAUACUAAUGUGUGUUUCCUUGUGAGCUACUGCAUAAGUUAGGAAAUUGAAAUACAGAAAGAUGAAAAGUGAUUUGCCCAAGCAUAUAGAUCAAAGCUGUGGCAGA